AACCGGAUUAGAUACCCUGGUAGUCCACGCCGUAAACGAUGGAUACUCGCUGCGAGCUAAAGAUUGUUCGUGGCUUAGGGAAACCGAUAAGUAUCCCACCUGGGGAGUACGCCGGCAACGGUGAAACUCAAAGGAAUUGACGGGGGCCCGCACAAGUGGUGGAGCAUGUGGUUUAAUUCGAUGAUACGCGAGGAACCUUACCUAGGCUAGAAUGCGCGUGACCGGCUCAGAGAUGAGCCUUUCCUUCGGGACACAAAGCAAGGUGCUGCAUGGCCGUCGUCAGCUCGUGCCGUGAGGUGUUGGGUUAAGUCCCGCAACGAGCGCAACCCCUAUGUUUAGUUGCCAGCAUGUAAUGAUGGGGACUCUAGACAGACUGCCUGCGCAAGCAGUGAGGAAGGCGGGGACGACGUCAGGUCAUCAUGGCCCUUACGCCUAGGGCGACACACGUGCUACAAUGGACGGUACAGCGGGUAGCUACUGGGCGACCAGAUGCCAAUCUCGAAAAGCCGUUCUCAGUUCGGAUUGGAGUCUGCAACUCGACUCCAUGAAGCUGGAAUCACUAGUAAUCGCGCAUCAGCCAUGGCGCGGUGAAUACGUUCCCGGGCC
rnacentral:rRNA from 1 species